rnacentral:lncRNA from 1 species
AUGUAUCAAAUGAAAAUAUUCCUUGGUCAUCAGACACAAUCAUCAAACAUGAACAAUAAUAACAGUAUAAUUAAUUUAGCACAAAGAUAAAAUGGCAUAUGAACCAGAAGCGCUCAAGGCUUGCAUCAAAUGAAAGGCACAAUCAUGGAUAACUCAGCCUCAGAUAGUGGCAUUGGCCAAGUCCUCAAAGCAUAGGGAAUGUUGUCUACUUCUAAGUCCAAGAGUUCAG